rnacentral:rRNA from 1 species
AAACUCAAAUGAAUUGACGGGGAGCACCACAACGGGUGGAGCUUGCGGUUUAAUUGGAUUCAACGCCGGAAAUCUUACCGGGACCGACAGCAAUAUGAAGGCCAGGCUGAAGACUUUGCCGGAUUAGCUGAGAGGUGGUGCAUGGCCGUCGUCAGUUCGUACUGUGAAGCAUCCUGUUAAGUCAGGUAACGAGCGAGACCCACGCCCACAGUUGCCAGCGUACUCUCCGGAGUGACGGGUACACUGUGGGGACCGCCGCUGCUAAAGCGGAGGAAGGAAUGGGCAACGGUAGGUCAGUAUGCCCCGAAUAUCCCGGGCUACACGCGAGCUACAAUGGUUGGUACAAUGGGUAUCGACACCGAAAGGUGAAGGCAAUCUCCUAAACCCAUCCGUAGUUCGGAUUGUGGGCUGCAACCUCGCCACAUGAAGCUGGAAUCUGUAGUAAUCGUGUCUCAAAAUAGGCACGGUGAAUAGUGUCCCUGCUCCUU